GGGUGCAAGCGUUACUCGGAAUCACUGGGCGUAAAGCGCGCGCAGGCGGUCUUUUAAGUUGGAUGUGAAAGCCUAUGGCUCAACCAUAGAACUGCAUCCAAAACUAUUAGACUAGAGUCUGGGAGGGGAAGAUGGAAUUAGUUGUGUAGGGGUAAAAUCCGUAGAGAUAACUAGGAAUACCAAAAGCGAAGGCGAUCUUCUGGAACAGUACUGACGCUGAGGCGCGAAAGCGUGGGGAGCAAACAGAAUUAGAUACCCUGGUAGUCCACGCCCUAAACGAUGAAUGUUAGUCGUCGGAGGCCUAGUGUCUUCGGUGAUGCAGCUAACGCAUUAAACAUUCCGCCUGGGGAGUACGGUCGCAAGAUUAAAACUCAAAGGAAUAGACGGGGACCCGCACAAGUGGUGGAGCAUGUGGUUUAAUUCGAAGAUACGCGAAGAACCUUACCUAGCCUUGACAUAUAUUAGAAUCCGGUAGAGAUACUGGAGUGCCUUCGGGAGCUUUUAUACAGGUGCUGCACGGCUGUCGUCAGCUCGUGUCGUGAGAUGUUGGGUUAAGUCCCGCAACGAGCGCAACCCUCGUCACUAGUUACUAACGGUUCGGCCGAGGACUCUAGUGAGACUGCCUUCGUA
rnacentral:rRNA from 1 species